UGAGGAAUUUUCCGCAAUGGGCGAAAGCCUGACGGAGCGACGCCGUGUGUGCGAUGAAGUCUUUCGGGAUGUAAAGCACUGUCAGAGGGAACGAUAUUGACGGUACCCUCAGAGGAAGGCCCGGCUAACUACGUGCCAGCAGCCGCGGUAAUACGUAGGGGCCAAGCGUUGUCCGGAAUCACUGGGCGUAAAGCGUAUGUAGGUUGCUUGAUAAGUCAGAUGUUAAAUUCCCGAGCUCAACUCGGGACCGCAUUUGAUACUGUCAGACUUGAGAAUGGUAGAGGAAAGCGGAACUUCCGGUGUAGCGGUGAAAUGCGUAGAUAUCGGAAGGAACACCAGUGGCGAAGGCGGCUUUCUGGGCCAUUUCUGACACUGAGAUACGAAAGCCAGGGGAGCAAACGGG
rnacentral:rRNA from 1 species